UGGAAGCGUCUGGAAAGGCGCGCGAUACAGGGUGACAGCCCCGUACACAAAAAUGCACAUGCUGUGAGCUCGAUGAGUAGGGCGGGACACGUGGUAUCCUGUCUGAAUAUGGGGGGACCAUCCUCCAAGGCUAAAUACUCCUGACUGACCGAUAGUGAACCAGUACCGUGAGGGAAAGGCGAAAAGAACCCCGGCGAGGGGAGUGAAAAAGAACCUGAAACCGUGUACGUACAAGCAGUGGGAGCACGCUUAGGCGUGUGACUGCGUACCUUUUGUAUAAUGGGUCAGCGACUUAUAUUCUGUAGCAAGGUUAACCGAAUAGGGGAGCCGAAGGGAAACCGAGUCUUAACUGGGCGUUAAGUUGCAGGGUAUAGACCCGAAACCCGGUGAUCUAGCCAUGGGCAGGUUGAAGGUUGGGUAACACUAACUGGAGGACCGAACCGACUAAUGUUGAAAAAUUAGCGGAUGACUUGUGGCUGGGGGUGAAAGGCCAAUCAAACCGGGAGAUAGCUGGUUCUCCCCGAAAGCUAUUUAGGUAGCGCCUCGUGAAUUCAUCUCCGGGGGUAGAGCACUGUUUCGGCAAGGGGGUCAUCCCGACUUACCAACCCGAUGCAAACUGCGAAUACCGGAGAAUGUUAUCACGGGAGACACACGGCGGGUGCUAACGUCCGUCGUGAAGAGGGAAACAACCCAGACCGCCAGCUAAGGUCCCAAAGUCAUGGUUAAGUGGGAAACGAUGUGGGAAGGCCCAGACAGCCAGGAUGUUGGCUUAGAAGCAGCCAUCAUUUAAAGAAAGCGUAAUAGCUCACUGGUCGAGUCGGCCUGCGCGGAAGAUGUAACGGGGCUAAACCAUG
rnacentral:rRNA from 1 species